GUGUGUGUGUGUGUGUGUGUAUGUUACCAGACAGGUCAUAAGCAGAUGCAAUUGAAAGAUAUACCAAGAGAACAACCAUGAGUAUCAUUCCUCAGGUCUGUCCACCUUUCUUUUCAUUGACUUGUAACUUACCAACUAGGCUACAUUAGCUUGUCAGUGAGCCUCCUGUCUCUGCCUCUGCAAUGCUAGGGUUAUAAGAACACAUCACUAUACCUAGCUUUUAAAACCAUGGGUUUUGGGACUAGAACUCCUGCCCUCUCACUUGUGAGGGAAGCACAUUGCCAAUAGAACUGUCUAUGUCUUUCUCAGCAUGUUUUUUCCCUCCCCAGCCAUUCAGUUCAUCCGUUAUAGCCCUAACACCUUUUACUAGGCUGGAGCUCUGAGGAAGGGGCUGGAUGCAGGGCGGGGUUGAGAAGCAUGUCUACAACUCUGGACCCACUACUGUUUUUAAUCUUGUAAUGUUCUUAGACUCCCGUAAAGGCAUGUUGUUCGUAAUAACCACCUUGACCGUGAAUGAGAAGAAAAACUGACGCUAUCAGGCCUCUUGGCAACCUUCCGAGGAAUGGCAGAGUUCAUUCUGAUCGAUGUCCGGUGAGUGGAGCUCAACCACGAUGGAGCUCAACCUGUCAAACUCCAAGAGAAAUGUAUGUUACAUAUUCCAGCUGUUCUUUAAACAUGCUUCCCAAGGCUCCAUUUGCUAGCUGUCAGACGAUGUGGAAGAAUUGCUCCAGACCUUUACUUGUCACCAGCCACCUUUGUUUAUACGCCAAGUUUUCCCUCUGUUAUCCAAUCAAUGUUUAGUAAAAAGACCAAAUUAAGUACCCUUCCUAGUGAGUUGCAGCUCUCAGUUUGGAAGCUCUCAUUCGCUUCCAAAUGGAGUGCAUUGCUUCUGGGAAAUAUACUAAUAGAAGGUGAAGAUUCUGCCUCUCAACAUUCCUGCUUAUUAUCAAUUAGGAAGGACUCUAUUUGGAGUUCUAGGUAAGAUGGACAUUAGGCCAAAAGAUGGCUUCUAAACUUGGUUUUCUUUGGAUCUCAUGGACAUAGUAACUGGGAGCAUUUUAUGAUUCAGUGCAUGAAGAUGUGUGCAGCCAGAAUUUUUCUUACAAGCUUGGAUUUUUUUCAUGAGUGAGGGGUGGGGGAAGCUAUUGUAUCCUCCAAUCCAAGAGAUUAGAACUUCUCAGAAAUUUUUGUGAUAUUCUGGAGCUAAGAAUCAGCUCACAAGAACUGUCCGUGUAUUAUCACAUCUCAACGCAAGUUCAGCGACAUCAGUAAGUUAGAAAUCUGCCACGGCAGUAUUUAUAUGAUGGAAAUGGGCAAAUGCUACAAGGGGGCUGAUCCAGUUGUUAAGCAUCUACUAAAUUGCACAGAAAAUUCUCUCCUAACACCCCUAUACUCACUGAGGGAAGCCAUUUAAAAGAAAGAAAGCCCUUUUGUAUUGCUUGCAUGGUGAGCCUGUGUAGUAGUAAAUAGACAGACUGCUUUUUGUUAUCUCAUCUGCUGAACUCAACCCAAGCGAGAGCAUUAUGAGGUAGACUGGCUAACAGGGUGAUGGUACUUCUCUUUGCUGCUCAGCUAUGUGACAGGCCAUUUUACCUCUCCAGCACUCAGCUUCCUCUUCACUAUAAUAAAAGUAAUUUAGGUCAUUAGGUAAUUGCCAAGUUUCCCUCUUGCUCUGACAUUUCUGCAAUUUGAUGAGUGCUUAGCUGCAGGGAAAUACCAUGUAAUUCAAAAACUUGGGACCCUUCAAAGUGUCCAAGCACAUCAGUUACAGAAACCAACUCAUCUCUUUCAAUUUCCUUACUAGAUCUUGGUCUCUUAGUAAUUCUCCAUCUCUCAGGGUUUGUACCUCCACAUAGAUGAGUAGGCCAAGUGGCAAGCGUAGUUACUUAGAUCCUUCCAUUUGGCAGGGCCAACACACUUAAAAAGCAACAAUCAGUGUACAUCAGGCUUGUUCGCCAAGGAAGGCUGCCUGAGUGUACAUGUUUUACAAGUGGCCUAUCAUAGUAAUGGGCUGAGGAUCCAGCAUCGUUGACUUAGUGACUUAUCUCUUGAUCAGAAAAGAAACUGCCUUUUGGUCUUAAAGGACCUCCAGCUUUGAGAUAAAUUGGUUUUAUUUUCUGAAUCCCAGAUUGCAUGGCAUCUUCUGCUUAUCCAUCCCCCUGACAUAGCUUGGUAUAUUUUUUUCAUCUAUCUGAAGCACAAACUAACGCAAAUGGAUUUUUGCCAGUUCCAAGGAUUUGGUGAUACAUGUCUAAAUACCGUUUUUUCUUUAAAGUUCUGUAAAAGAUGGAUAGCAUUAAUUUGUACUGAGGCUUGAGUGUAGACUUCAUGGAGUGUAGAAGGAACUAAAUCCACCUUCACGAGGAACCAGAAAGAGACUGAUUAUAGAGGUGAGUAAAUUUUUGACGGUGCUCAGGGUCUUCCCAAGACACAUAGGCCCAUGUUUUAGCAUCCAGAAGACAGCCCCCUUCCAAAAAUGUGCACAUUCCCAUGUGGCAACUCAUGCAAAUUGUUAUUAUAAUUGAGCUUAUGAAGCCAUUUAACUCUUGAAUCAAAAACCUAAGUACUUUACUGACUGUUUGCAGGGUUGAUUACCCACCCCUGCCAGCCAUCUGGGCUAUGUGCAUUUAGUGGCUGCAGCUAUAAAGUUGGGGCUGUUGAGUCUACCACCAAAAGCACAAGCUACGUGAAUGACUAGAAAAUAAGUCAAUUAUUCAGCAUUCAACGUGAAAAUAUAUUUUUCUGUCUUACAUGGACAACAGACAUGGGCUGAAAACCUCUUGGCUUCAGACUGCCAAUAAGAAAUUCAAUCAGUUCUACCAUUUUUUUUCUUGGAAUAUUCCUAAAAUAGUCUUAAUCUAAAAACUUGAUUAUAUCCUUUUCAUUUGAUGUCUGCAUUUUAGAGAUUUUUAAAGAUUUUAUUUUGUAUGUGGCAGUGUUUUGUCUGCUUGUCUCUAUGUGUACCAUGUGCAUGUCUAGUGCUCACAGAGUCUAGAAGAGGACAGUAUUCCUGGGAUUGGAGGUGUAUGGUUGUGAGCCACCAUGUUUGUGGGUGCUAGAAAUUAAAGCCAGAAAUUAAAGCUAGAAAUUAAAGCAGAGCAGCGAGUGCUCUUAAACAGCUGGCCCAUCUGGUCAGCCCCUUGAUAUCUGAAUUUUUAAGCCACAAGUUUAAUUCACUACAAGCAUAUAUUUUCCAGCACACUGUGUAUUGUCCUCAGUCUAAGUAUGAUGUAUGGACCAGAAGCAUCACCGGCAUCACUCUGGGAGCUUGUUACAAUUGGAGAAUCUUGGCUACCUCUCAGUCCAUACUACAUCAAUCAGAGUCAGUAUUAUAAUAAACCCUUGGGUGAUUUCUAUGUACAUCACACCCCAAGGAGCACUAAUGUACAUUGUAUACAUGUGCUUUCAGUCUAUCUUCAUUAAAGCCUUUAAAUUUAUGAAACAAUUACUAAGGAGAGGCAUGUGACCUAACUGAAGGAGCCAUUUCUUAUUGUCAAGUCAUCGAACAAAACAGACUUGUUUUUUAGUCAGUGUGAGGAAUCAACUUCCUUUGUCGAUUGAAGUGACUGUGUUAAUGUCUACACCUGGCCAGUCUCCUUUCUGCAUUCUUAGUCUAAAGUGAUAAGUAGCUGGUUAAGCAAAUACCCAGAUAAGGCACAAGGCUGUGCUGUGAAUUUCCUACCUGAACAAAA
rnacentral:sRNA from 1 species